CAGCAGCCGCGGGAAUACAGAGGGUGCAAGCGUUAAUCGGAAUUACUGGGCGUAAAGCGCGCGUAGGUGGUUCGCCAAGUUGGAUGUGAAAUCCCCGGGCUCAACCUGGGAACUGCAUCCAAAACUGGCGAGCUAGAGUAUGGUAGAGGGUGGUGGAAUUUCCUGUGUAGCGGUGAAAUGCGUAGAUAUAGGAAGGAACACCAGUGGCGAAGGCGACUACCUGGACUGAUACUGACACUGAGGUGCGAAAGCGUGGGGAGCAAACAGGAUUAGAUACCCCUGUAGUCCCUGUCUCUUAUAC
rnacentral:rRNA from 1 species